CCUACGGGAGGCUGCAGUGAGGAAUAUUGGGCAAUGGGGGCAACCCUGACCCAGCCAUGCCGCGUGAGUGAAGAAGGUCUUCGGAUUGUAAACCUCUUUAAGCGGGGAGCAAUGCCGGGCACGCUUGCCCGGAGGGCGAGUACCCGCAGAUUAAGCAUCGGCUAACUCCGUGCCAGCAGCCGCGGUAAUACGGAGGAUGCGAGCGUUAUCCGGAUUUAUUGGGUUUAAAGGGUGCGUAGGCGGAUUUUUAAGUCCGCGGUAAAAUGUCCGGGCUCAACCCGGGCCGGCCGUUGAAACUGGGGAUCUUGAGUGGGCGAGAAGUAUGCGGAAUGCGUGGUGUAGCGGUGAAAUGCAGAGAUAUCACGAAGAACUCCGAUUGCGAAGGCAGCAUACCGGCGCCCGACUGACGCUGAGGCACGAAAGCGUGGGGAUCGAACAGGAUUAGAUACCCCAGUAGUC
rnacentral:rRNA from 1 species